UCGGGAAUAUUGCGCAAUGGAGGAAACUCUGACGCAGUGACGCCGCGUGCAGGAAGAAGGUUUUCGGAUUGUAAACUGCUUUAGACAGGGAAGAAAAAAUGACAGUACCUGUAGAAUAAGCUCCGGCUAACUACGUGCCAGCAGCCGCGGUAAUACGUAGGGAGCAAGCGUUAUCCGGAUUUAUUGGGUGUAAAGGGUGCGUAGACGGGAGAGCAAGUUAGUUGUGAAAUCCCUCGGCUUAACCGAGGAACUGCAACUAAACUACUUUUCUUGAGUGCUGGAGAGGAAAGUGGAAUUCCUAGUGUAGCGGUGAAAUGCGUAGAUAUUAGGAGGAACACCAGUGGCGAAGGCGACUUUCUGGACAGUAACUGACGUUGAGGCACGAAAGUGUGGGGAGCAAACAGGAUUAGAUACC
rnacentral:rRNA from 1 species